GACCCCCUCCCUCCAGGCUCCUCCUAAGGGGUUUCACUUGCACCACCUGUCCUGCAAAGCCUGCAGCUCGUGAACUCCUCGUCGCCCUAAUCAGAGCCCCCAAGGCUCCUGCAGAUGACCUGCUGCUCUUUUUCACGGGCUGAGCCCAGGAGGGACCACCCUCAGGCGAGUUCAGGAGUAAAGUGCGCCGCCCGGAACAGCAGCCCCCAAAGAUUGCCACAGCCUCGUGGGCUCCUCUGCUUAAGCGGGUGUCUGCUGCUGUGCAAGUCCUCAGUGAACCCCAAUGACCUGGUCCAUUCUGAAAUCAGAAAAUAAGCUAUGUCGUGCGUGCAGAGGGCCUGAGUGGGAGCUGGCCUGAUGUCAGCAGGCGCUGUCUUCUUCACCUGUCGGGUCCGCAGCCACCCUCUGCCUCCUCGUCCUGCAAACUGGUCAUAUAUGGAUAUAAGUAUUGGAUUGUGAAGAAAGCUGAGUGCUGAAGAAUUGAUGCUUUUGAACUGUGGUGUUGGAGAAGACUCUUGAGAGUCCCUUGGACUGCAAGGAGAUCCAACCAGUCCAUCCUAAAGGAGACCAGUCCUGGGUGUUCAUUGGAAGGACUGAUGCUGAGGCUGAAACUCCAAUACUUUGGCCACCUCAUGUGAAGAGUUGACUCAUUGGAAAAGACCCUGAUGCUGGGAGGGAUUGGGGGCAGGAGGAGAAGGGGACGACAGAGGAUGAGGUGGCUGGAUGGCAUCACCGACUCGAUGCACGCUUCAGCAAUACGUGAACCAUGAACUUCCAGGUGUUCAAGCUGGUUUUAGAAAAGGCAGAGGAAGCAGAGAUCAAAUUGCCAACAUCCACUGGAUCAUCAAAAAAGCACCAGAGUUCCAGAAAAACAUCUGUUUCUGCUUUCUUGACUAUGCCAAGGCCUUUGACUGUGUAGAUCACAAUAAACUGUGGAAAAUUCUUCAAGAGAUGGGAAUACCAGACCACCUGAUCUGCCUCUUGAGAAACCUAUAUGCAGGUCAG
ensembl:lncRNA